rnacentral:rRNA from 1 species
GUCGAACGGGAGGAAAAGAGAAGCUUGCUUCUUUUUGAAUCUAGUGGCAAACGGGUGAGUAACACGUAAACAACCUGCCUUCAGGAUGGGGACAACAGACGGAAACGACUGCUAAUACCGAAUGUGUUCCGGAGACCGCAUGAUUUCCGGAAGAAAGGAUGGCCUCUAUUUAUAAGCUAUCGCCUGAAGAGGGGUUUGCGUCUGAUUAGGCAGUUGGUGAGGUAACGGCCCACCAAACCUACGAUCAGUAGCCGGUCUGAGAGGAUGAACGGCCACACUGGAACUGAGACACGGUCCAGACUCCUACGGGAGGCAGCAGUGGGGAAUCUUCCGCAAUGGACGAAAGUCUGACGGAGCAACGCCGCGUGAGUGAUGACGGCCUUCGGGUUGUAAAGCUCUGUGAUCGGGGACGAAUGGCUGGUAUGCUAAUACCAUAUCAGAGUGACGGUACCCGAAUAGCAAGCCACGGCUAACUACGUGCCAGCAGCCGCGGUAAUACGUAGGUGGCAAGCGUUGUCCGGAAUUAUUGGGCGUAAAGCGCGCGCAGGCGGCUUCUUAAGUCCAUCUUAAAAGUGCGGGGCUUAACCCCGUGAUGGGAUGGAAACUGGGAGGCUGGAGUAUCGGAGAGGAAAGUGGAAUUCCUAGUGUAGCGG